rnacentral:misc_RNA from 1 species
AACUAACGCUAUUAUUGAUACAGUUUGUGUACUAUAUUGGUACGCGAAACUUCCAACCCGCCU